UACGAGAGGCCCGAACGUUAUUCGGAAUUACUGGGCUUAAAGAGUUCGUAGGCGGCGCAGAAAGUAGGGUGUGAAAGCCCUCGGCUUAACCGAGGAAUUGCGCUCUAAACUACUGUGCUUGAGGAAUCUAGAGGUGAGCGGAACUGAUGGUGGAGCGGUGAAAUGCGUUGAUAUCAUCAGGAACACCGGAGGCGAAGGCGGCUCACUGGGGAUUUUCUGACGCUGAGGAACGAAAGCCAGGGGAGCGAACGGG
rnacentral:rRNA from 1 species